rnacentral:rRNA from 1 species
AGCGAACGCUGGCGGCAGGCCUAACACAUGCAAGUCGAACGAAGUCUUCGGACUUAGUGGCGGACGGGUGAGUAACACGUGGGAACGUGCCUUUAGGUUCGGAAUAACUCAGGGAAACUUGUGCUAAUACCGAAUGUGCCCUUCGGGGGAAAGAUUUAUCGCCUUUAGAGCGGCCCGCGUCUGAUUAGCUAGUUGGUGAGGUAAAGGCUCACCAAGGCUACGAUCAGCAGCUGGUCUGAGAGGAUGACCAGCCACAUUGGGACUGAGACACGGCCCAAACUCCUACGGGAGGCAGCAGUGGGGAAUUGUGCGCAUUGGGCGAAAGCCUGACGCAGCCAUGCCGCGUGGAUGAUGAAGGUCUUAGGAUUGUAAAAUCCUUUCACCGGUGAAGAUAAUGACUGUAGCCGGAGAAGAAGCCCCGGCUAACUUCGUGCCAUCCGCCGCGGUAAGAC